rnacentral:lncRNA from 1 species
GUUUAGCCGACGAAAAACAUGUCGUCGGUUUUUUUCCCAGACUUUAGCCGACGAAACAAUUAAGAUAUUCGUCGGCUAAAGUCUGUAAUAAAAAAAAUUUUCCAGACUAUAGCCGACGAAAUAUAGUAUGUUUCGUCGGCUAAACCUUAUAAAAAAAUUUAAAAAAAUAACUAUAGCCGACGAAAUAUAGUCUGUUUCGUCGGCUAAACCUUAUAAAAAAUUUUAAAAAAUAACUAUAGCCGACGAAAUAUGCCAUAAUUCGUCGGCUAAACCUUAUAAAAAAAUUUUAAAAAUAACUAUAGCCGACGAAAUAUGCCAUAAUUCGUCGGCUAAACCUUAUAAAAAAAAAUUUAAAAAUACUAUAGCCGACGAAUAAACCUUUAAAUAUCGUCGGCUAAACCUUUAAAUAUCGUCGGCUAAAGUUGCUGGUUUUUGAAAAAAAAAACUGCAGAAACUUUCGGCCACCUCCAAUCACCACCAAAAUUUGACAUAAUCUUCUUCUCAACAUUUCGAACAACUUUCUAGAAGAAGUCAAAGCCCAAUUCUAAGCCUAAAUAGGUCAAUUGAAUCAAAAUAUAAAAAUCCCCAAUUUUAAAUCCUAAAAACUUCAAAUCUUCGAUUCUCCUCACACACACCAAAUCGAGCUACCAAAUUCUAGGGGAAUGUAGUACUAAUCAAACUCAACUUAUCCAUAUAUAGAACUCACCAAAUGGUGACCUGAGGAAGGAGAAAUUCGAUCGACACCGAAUCCGAACCGGCGGAGUUUUGGAGCUCGAUUUAUCUCUCACGGCGGCGCCACUCGAUGCACCACCUAUCCAGCAAUGAAGUAGAGACAACGGCGAAACUUUUGGGACAAGUGUGGCGGUCUCCAGUGGCUUGACGGCGGAGCUAGGCCGAGAAGAAAAUCUGGCAUGCGAAAUAGACUUCUUACCAUCCACCUUCGGUAAUAUAAAGAACUUUAGCCGACGAAAAUAAAGCUCUUUUGAAAAUUUUGAAAAUUUUGGUUGACCGCCAAAAAAUUUUGGUUGAAAAUUUUGAAAAUUUUAGACUUUAGCCGACGACUUUUCAUAUAUUUUCGUCGGCUAAAGUCCUUUGAAAAUUUUCCUCCAAAUUUGGUUUACCGCCCAAAAAUUUUUGACCUUAGCCGACAACUUUUUUAAUAUCUCGUUGGCAAAAGUCUAUAAAUUCACGAAAACGCUCAUAUCUCCCUCUAUAUUACGUAGUUUGAUCAAACCUUCCACACGAAAAAUUUUCACGUAGAUGAGACGCAACCGCCUAUAUAAAAAUUUUGAGACAUUUGCCUUCCGACGAUAGGGCUCCCCAUAGGGAAUAAUAACGGUAAAUAGGGUUGACCGCUACUAUCGGCACCGAGACUUUACCCGAUUUACGUGAUUUUUGAACCAUAGCCGUAUUUCACCAUUCUAAACACAUCUUAUUUCACGAGAUUUUUGAUAAUUUUGCUUCCUAUAUAGAGUUGGUUUACAAAGUUGUAUAACCUACCAAACAAGUUAUACAACAUUAGUAGACACGUUGUGAUUCCGAUGACUAAAAUUCACAAACCAAAAUUCGACCGUCAGAUAU